UACGAAGGGUGCAAGCGUUAAUCGGAAUUACUGGGCGUAAAGGGUGCGUAGGCGGUUGUUUAAGUUUGGUGUGAAAUCUCCCGGCUCAACUGGGAGGGUGCGCCGAAUACUGAAUGACUAGAGUGCGGGAGAGGAGAGUGGAAUUCCUGGUGUAGCGGUGAAAUGCGUAGAUAUCGGAAGGAACGCCGGUGGCGAAAGCGACGUGCUGGACCUCUUCUGACGCUGAGGCGCGAAAGCUAGGGGAGCAAACGGG
rnacentral:rRNA from 1 species